UGGGGAAUUUUGGACAAUGGGGGAAACCCUGAUCCAGCCAUCCCGCGUGUGCGAUGAAGGCCUUCGGGUUGUAAAGCACUUUUGGCAGGAAAGAAACGUCAUGGGUUAAUACCCCGUGAAACUGACGGUACCUGCAGAAUAAGCACCGGCUAACUACGUGCCAGCAGCCGCGGUAAUACGUAGGGUGCAAGCGUUAAUCGGAAUUACUGGGCGUAAAGCGUGCGCAGGCGGUUCGGAAAGAAAGAUGUGAAAUCCCAGAGCUCAACUUUGGAACUGCAUUUUUAACUACCGGGCUAGAGUGUGUCAGAGGGAGGUGGAAUUCCGCGUGUAGCAGUGAAAUGCGUCGAUAUGCGGAUGAACACCGAUGGCGAAGGCAGCCUCCUGGGAUAACACUGACGCUCAUGCCCGAAAGCGUGGGGAGCAAACAGG
rnacentral:rRNA from 1 species